UACGUAGGGUGCAAGCGUUAAUCGGAAUUACUGGGCGUAAAGCGUGCGCAGGCGGUUAUGUAAGACAGUUGUGAAAUCCCCGGGCUCAACCUGGGAACUGCAUCUGUGACUGCAUAGCUAGAGUACGGUAGAGGGGGAUGGAAUUCCGCGUGUAGCAGUGAAAUGCGUAGAUAUGCGGAGGAACACCGAUGGCGAAGGCAAUCCCCUGGACCUGUACUGACGCUCAUGCACGAAAGCGUGGGGACAAACAGG
rnacentral:rRNA from 1 species